rnacentral:rRNA from 1 species
GAACGAGACCUUCGGGUCUAGUGGCGCACGGGUGCGUAACGCGUGGGAAUCUGCCCUUGGGUUCGGAAUAACAGUUAGAAAUGACUGCUAAUACCGGAUGAUGACGUAAGUCCAAAGAUUUAUCGCCCAAGGAUGAGCCCGCGUAGGAUUAGCUUGUUGGUGAGGUAAAAGCUCACCAAGGCGACGAUCCUUAGCUGGUCUGAGAGGAUGAUCAGCCACACUGGGACUGAGACACGGCCCAGACUCCUACGGGAGGCAGCAGUGGGGAAUAUUGGACAAUGGGCGAAAGCCUGAUCCAGCAAUGCCGCGUGAGUGAUGAAGGCCUUAGGGUUGUAAAGCUCUUUUACCCGGGAUGAUAAUGACAGUACCGGGAGAAUAAGCUCCGGCUAACUCCGUG